GUCCUAGCCGUAAACGUUGGGUGCUAGGUGUGGGCGGAUAUCAAACCCCGUCCGUGCCGAAGCUAACGCAUUAAGCACCCCGCCCUGGGGAGGUACGGCCGCAAGGCUAAAACUACAAAGGAAAUUGACGGGGCCCCGGCACAAGCGGCGGAGCAUGUUGCUUAAUUCGAUGCGACGCGAAGAACCUUACCUGGGCUUGACAUGCAGGGUGAAACCCGUGAAAGCGGGCGCUCUUCGGAGCCUGCACAGGUGGUGCAUGGCUGUCGU
rnacentral:rRNA from 1 species